rnacentral:rRNA from 1 species
UUAGCGAUAGCUGGUUUCUCAAGAAAAGAAUUUAAGUCCAACCUAAAGUAAUUCUCAAUCCACAUAAAUAGCCACCCCACUUUAGAGCAAUUCAAAUGAGGUACAGCCCAUUUGACACAGGAUACAACCUUAACUAUCGGGUAACAUUAAAUCUACACCUUCAAGUAGGCCUAAGAGCAGCCACCCUUUAAAAAGCGUCAAAGCUUAAUCAUGUUUACAUCAAUUUUAAACCUUCCAUUGACCCCCUUAAUUUUACUGAGAAUUUCUAUAUCAUAUAGAACAUUUUAUGCUAAAACUAGUAACAAGAGUAAAACCUCUCCCAAUGCAAACACAAGCCAGCAAGAACCCACCACUGGCAAUUAACAGACCUAAACAAAAGUAGCAACAUCUCUAGAAAACUCUACUUCUCACAACUGUUAACCUAACACCAGAGCAUUUCAGGAAAGAUUAAAAGAAAAAGAAGGAACUCGGCAAACACUAAUCCCGCCUGUUUACCAAAAACAUCGCCUCUUGCUCCUAUAAGAGGUCAAGCCUGCCCAGUGACUUUGUUCAACGGCCGCGGUAUCCUAACCGUGCAAAGGUAGCGUAAUCACUUGUUUUCUAAAUAAAGACCAGUAUGAAAGGCAUCACGAGGAUUAAACUGUCUCCUUUUUCCAAUCAGUGAAACUAAUCUCCCCGUGAAGAAGCGGGGGUUAUCCUAUAAGACGAGAAGACCCUAUGGAGCUUAAAACAUUACAACAUCUGCCACCAAACUUCAACCACCCAGGUGUCUCCCCCAAAUGGCACUUUGAUUUUAUGUUUUUGGUUGGGGUGACCGCGGAGAAAAACUGAUCCUCCACGAUGAAGGGGACUCCCCCUAAACAAUAAGCUACAUCUUUAUGUAUCAAUAAAUUGACAUCCAUUGACCCAAUAACUUGAUUAACGAACCAAGUUACCCUAGGGAUAACAGCGCAAUCCACUUUAAGAGCCCCUAUCGACAAGUGGGCUUACGACCUCGAUGUUGGAUCGGGGUACCCCAGUGGUGUAGUCGCUACUAAAGGUUCGUUUGUUCAACGAUUAAAACCCCACGUGAUCUGAGUUCAGACCGGAGCAAUCCAGGUCAGUUUCUAUCUAUAAAAGAGCUCUUUUCAGUACGAAAGGACCAAAAUAGCAUGGCCAAUACCCCCUACAAGCCAUAGUUAAUCAUUUUAGACCCCCACUCAAAAAUUAAUAACCUUACCUCACACCUCUAAAAAAGAACA